UUCACAAAACCACUGACAAGCAAGCCUUUGCCUAGCUCUCCCAGGGCACACGGCCGAUGAGCUGCCUGAAACAGCAGGGCCACAGAGAAAAAAUACAACCAAAAUGUUCAGCAUCAGGAUCACCUCACUCAUAAACUCCUGACAGAUUGAACACACCGGAGCUGGAAUUACUGGAAAGAUGAUGAUUUACCUUCAGACUUCCCAGCUGCAGCCGACUCCGAAUCCUGCCGCAAAAGGCAAACAAAACCCAAGAAAAUAUCUGAUGACUUCGUGUUUUUCUAUGACAACCGACAUCAUUUAUGACCCAUUAUGUAAUGACACGAGCAUUAUACAUUGAAAAGCUGUCUUGAAAGACAUUGUAAAUAAACAUUCCUGGUUUGCAAACAGGAAGCCAGAGAUAUUACUGUGGAAGCUGAGAGGAUGGGGUUAGAUUCUUGAAACGUGAGUGAUUUGGUUUUUUUCCUUCCAUCUCUCCCAAACUCGUGGUGCAGUCAUAUUGUUACUAGCUAAUGCAUGUAAUUUUCUCUCCACCCUUACAGCUAAAAUAUAACUUAAAAAAAACAUUAAAGAGAACAGCGAUGGAAUGACAGACUAGAUAGGUACAAGAUGAGAAAUAAAAGCAGCAAAAAGAUAAAAUAGGAGAUAUAAACUAUUUGGGGCUACAGGGAUUCACACCAAGUGUUGGAAGAGUCUAACCUCCAACACCGGACCAUUGCAAUGACUUCAGCAGAAGGCACAAAAUCACCAAGAAUAAAUAUUCCCCUGGGGAAGCAUCUUCAAAUUCCACACACUGUAUAUGCAGUUCAAAUGGUCAAAGGGAGCAGCGCUCCAAAACAGAUUUUUUUUUGUUGGUAAUAUGAAGAAGGAGAACUGGACUGACACCACAAACUCUGUUCCACACGGGCCAGUGAUCGAAAAGAUGACUAGCUCCAACAAUUUGAAAGAGAAUUUGCUUUCUUCUACUAGUUAAGCUGUUAAUCCUCAUUCAUCAAAGCUUUUACACUAACUUUAGGCUGUUGGACACCAACAGGUCUCUACCUUCAGUUAAUCUGGAACACAAAUGUUUUACUAAACUAAGAACCAAGAAAACCAUAGAAUUACAUAGAAGUCAGGGAAUGCUUCAUGACCAGGGUCAGUGAGGGAAGACUGAAUCCCAUGUUGCAGGGUUACAAAUUGCAUUUAAAAAAUGAAUUUAAUUUAGAAAUCAUUUUAUUAAUAUAAAUACUGUAUUCGUUAUCUCUCCCUUAAGUAAAUCCUCUGAGAUUAAACUAUUUUCCUCAAAACCUAGCUACAGAAAAUUACAAUAUUCAGGAGCAUAUUUGAUAUACUGUUCAAGUUUAAGCUGAAGAUAAUAAAUAAAUUCAAGAACUGAUCAGUCCCAGCUGCUGUAUGGGAGGAGUCACUGCUGAGGUCAGAGAAGAGUUGCCACCAGUUUCCUACCAUGUCCCAUCAGUUACCCAUGCAGUUUUGAUGUCCCAGACACCCACUGUGAUUUCGUUAGAUGAGACAUUUUGAGCUUCUGCUGGAACUUGAAUGUGGAUCACAUGUUCUCAACUAAAUCAGGAAAUAAAAUUAUACACAAUUUUGAUCAGC